AUAAAUUGCAGCAGUCUGAGGACAGAACUUCAUCUGCACUACAAAUGAGGCUCAUGUUAGACACACUUCCUGUCUUGGUGAAUUUUACCUUCAUUAAGGCCAUAUUGUAUAAGUAAAAGGACAAAAGGGGCAAUCAUAGAUGAAGACAAGAAAAAAUGUUCUACUCCAUGUACAAGUUUAGGUGAUGAAAAGAAAGUGGGUACAGCCCGUCAGAUCCAGGCAUUCACUUUUCAAGGAUGGACUA